ACUCCUACGGGAGGCAGCAGUGGGGAAUCUUGCGCAAUGGGCGAAAGCCUGACGCAGCGACGCCGCGUGGGUGACGAAGGCCUUCGGGUUGUAAAAGCCCUGUGGGGGGAGACGAACCGGGUCGUGGCUAAUAUCCACGGUCCUUGACGGUAUCCCUUUAGCAAGCAUCGGCUAACUCUGUGCCAGCAGCCGCGGUAAU
rnacentral:rRNA from 1 species